UACGUAGGGUGCGAGCGUUGUCUGGAAUUAUUGGGCGUAAAGGGCUCGUAGGCGGUCUGUCGCGUCGGGAGUGAAAACUCAGGGCUUAACCCUGAGCCUGCUUCCGAUACGGGCAGACUAGAGGUAUGCAGGGGAGAACGGAAUUCCUGGUGUAGCGGUGGAAUGCGCAGAUAUCAGGAGGAACACCGGUGGCGAAGGCGGUUCUCUGGGCAUUACCUGACGCUGAGGAGCGAAAGUGUGGGGAGCGAACAGG
rnacentral:rRNA from 1 species